GAUGAAGAACGUAGCGAAAUGCGAUAAGUAAUGUGAAUUGCAGAAUUCAGUGAACCAUCGAAUCUUUGAACGCACAUUGCGCCCGGCAGUAAUCUGCCGGGCAUGCCUGUCCGAGCGUCAUUUCUGCCCUCGAGCGAGUCCAGCAUCUAGGUGCUGGGCCCGCCCGGCGUUGGGGCACUACGGGAAGCCCUGUGCUAUCCCCCGUAGGCCCCGAAAUGAAGUGGCGGUCCUGCCGCGGCGCCCCCUGCGUAGUAUAACAGCUCGCUUCGGGACCCGGUGGAGGCCUGCCGUCAAACCUUACUCUCUAAGUUUGACCUCGGAUCAGGUAGGGUUACCCGCUGAACUUAAGCAUAUCAAUAAGCGGAGGA
rnacentral:misc_RNA from 1 species